rnacentral:lncRNA from 1 species
GUGGGAUUAUUGGCUACCGGUUCCUAAUUCAAACAUUUCAAUCUAACGAUUCCUGCAAAUAAAAAAAAAAACGAAUGCAUUUUCUAAGUCAAAAAUGGUGUUCCAAAUGUUUACACUAGUGUUCAUCAUUUGAAUGUGUGGUGUUCAGUUUUUAAUGCCUUUGUGUUUCACUUUUGAACACUUGAUGUUAGAGUUCUUAACACUUAGUGUUCAUCAAUUGAAUGUGUGGUGUUCAGUUUUUAAUGCCUUUGUGUUUCAUUUUUGAACACUUGAUGUUAGAGUUCUUAACACUUAGUGUUCAUCAAUUGAAUGUGUGGUGUUCAGUUUUUAAUGCCUUUGUGUUUCAUUUUUUGAACACUUGAUGUUAGAGUUCUUAACACUUAGUGUUCAUCAAUUGAAUGUGUGGUGUUCAGUUUUUAAUGCCUUUGUGUUUCAUUUUUGAACACUUGAUGUUAGAGUUCUUAACACUUAGUGUUCAGCUAAUAUACGUGGAUGUAAAAAAAAUCAUCAUUUAUUCCGUAUAACAGACAGACGAUCACAGACUGGUUAUUCAUCAGUUUAGGAAAUCAUCAGAACAAAGCUGACAGUUAUUUACGUUUAAUCUAAAUCCUGUUCUUUAAUUCGUCUUUUAUGUUGAAUAUUGAAAAUUUGGAUAUAACAGUUAUGAAUAUUUGACAAAUAUAUAUCUGACAUGAGAAAAUAACAAGGAAGCCAUCGAACUACCUAUAGAGAUUAUCCUAACUUGUUACUCACUUCUUUCCUGUUCAUGUGGGAUAGAAGUCCCUUCUCUAGUUCUCUUCCUUAUGUGUAUCCAUUCUUCGUUUAACC